UACGUAGGGCGCGAGCGUUGUCCGGAAUCAUUGGGCGUAAAGAGCGUGUAGGUGGACUGGAAGGUCUGGUGUGAAAGCCCGGGGCUCAACCCCGGAGGGUCACUGGAAACCAACAGUCUUGAGUCCGGAAGAGGAGAGUGGAAUCCUGGUGUAGCGGUGGAAUGCGCAGAUAUCAGGAGGAACACCAAUGGCGAAGGCAGCUCUCUGGUACGUGACUGACAC
rnacentral:rRNA from 1 species